rnacentral:lncRNA from 1 species
CAUUGAUGUGCUACAAGCAUGGCUUAAGUUCUUUACCUGGGAUAAUUUUAUCCUCAGAACAACUUAGGAAGCUCCAGUGAAAAACUUGACAUGCAAAGCAGUGACUUAAGAUCACGCGCUGUGUGUUCCACAAGAGCUGUGUGACAUCCUGGAGCUCUAUGAAACGGGUGGUCACAGUGCCUCAGUUCCUGCACUGUUAAGAAGUCUUGCUCUGCACACUGGCCUCCACGCCUGGCUCAGAACGCACACUGGACUCGUGCUCCUUGUGAUCAAGAAGUAAGCCUCACCUGUGUCCUUCCUCCUCCCAAGCCUGGGCUCCCGAUCAUGGCCCGUUAC